rnacentral:rRNA from 1 species
GAGUUUGAUCUUGGCUCAGGAUGAACGCUGGCGGCGUGCCUAACACAUGCAAGUCGAGCGAAGCGCUUGAAUCUGAUUCUUCGGAUGAGGAUUCUUGUGACUGAGCGGCGGACGGUGAGUAACGCGUGGGCAACCUGCCUUACACAGGGGGAUAACAGUUAGAAAUGACUGCUAAUACCGCAUAAGACCGCAGUACCGCAUGGUACAGCGGUAAAAAACUCCGGUGGUGUAAGAUGGGCCCGCGUCUGAUUAGGUAGUUGGCGGGUAACGGCCCACCAAGCCGACGAUCAGUAGCCGACCUGAGAGGGUGACCGGCCACAUUGGGACUGAGACACGGCCCAGACUCCUACGGGAGGCAGCAGUGGGGAAUAUUGCACAAUGGGGGAAACCCUGAUGCAGCGACGCCGCGUGAGCGAUGAAGUAUUUCGGUAUGUAAAGCUCUAUCAGCAGGGAAGAAAAUGACGGUACCUGACUAAGAAGCCCCGGCUAACUACGUGCCAGCCGCCGCCGUAAGACC